rnacentral:piRNA from 1 species
UCCGCAUUGUUCCGCUGGUUGGUGGCCUGC